UACGUAGGGUGCAAGCGUUAAUCGGAAUUACUGGGCGUAAAGCGUGCGUAGGCGGUUUGUUAAGUCCGUUGUGAAAGCCCUGGGCUCAACCUGGGAAUUGCAGUGGAUACUGGCGAGCUAGAGUGCGGUAGAGGAUGGUGGAAUUCCCGGUGUAGCGGUGAAAUGCGUAGAGAUCGGGAGGAACACCCGUGGCGAAGGCGGCCAUCUGGACCAGCACUGACGCUGAGGCACGAAAGCGUGGGGAGCAAACAGG
rnacentral:rRNA from 1 species